UCCAAGACCUUGCCGAUCAGUGGAAUUGGGAGAAAGGCAUAGAAAAACUGACCCAACUAGGACAGAAGGAAGGCAUCCCAACCCUCCCCUGGAGCCGAAGCAGGGACACCUGCGGGUCAUGAACAGAUCCACCUGGGGAGUGCCCCACAUUUGGAAAAUCCUGUGCACUACGUCCAGGUGCAGUGACCAUUUGUGCUGAGAGGAUAAGUCCCGGCUCGGCCGAUCCCCCCAAGAGUUUUGGAUGCCCGGUAGUUGGUGGGCUUCCAAGUAGAUAUCAUGGGCUAUGCAGAAGUCCCACAGCCUGAGGGCUUCCUGGCAGAGGGCUGAGGAGCAGACUCUGCCUUGCCUGUUGAUGUACAACAUCGGGUCUGUGUUGUCCAUGAGAACCCUGACCACUCUGACCACUCGCUAGGCAUGAGCAAAAAGCCCCGCAGACUAGACGGACUGCCCUGAGUUCCUUGACGUUUAUGUGCAGGGCUAGGUCCUGCACAGACCACAGACCUUAGGUCUGGAGGUUUCCCACAUAUGCUCCCCACCCCAGGUCCGACGAAUCGGACACCAACUCCACAGUCGGUGACCGGACCCUGAACGGGACCCCUUGGAGCAUGUUCCCCUAGAAGGACCACCAGCGUAGGGAGGCUAUUACAGGUUUGGGCACAGUGAGAACUUUGUCCAUCCUGUCUCUGGAUUGGGAGAAUACCGAGACCAAUCAGAGCUGAAAGGGCCCCAUCCUGAGUCUGGUGUGAUGAACCACGUACGUGCACACUGACAUAUGACCCAGCAGUUGGUGGCACGCUCUGGCAGUCAUCACGGGAAACCUUGUGACCACACCAAUGAGCUCCCUUAGGGUUUCAAUUCCGUCUGGUGGGAGGGAGGCUGAUAAGCUCUGGCUGAUGUCGCGUCCAGAAUCGCCCCAAUGAACUCUUAAGCAUUGCACCGGUACCAAUGUCAACUUGGUGUUGUUUACCAGCAGUCCCAGUGUGGUGUGUGUGGACAGGAGAAGUGUUAUGUGAUCCCAUACUUGUGACCUGCAGCUGCCCUUGACCAGCCAGUCAUCAAGACCCUGCAGGUUCAGAAGGGGCCUGAGCCCCGCUUUGGCCUUCGGGAGGAAAGUACAUAGGUGGUUGGAGAAGGGAAGGUCCGAUGAAUCCCUGGCACAAACUGGGCCUUGCCAUCGAAUAAAAGGUCCUGCAAGGAAUUCUGUGCCUCGCUGGACAACCCAGACAGCAGGAGCCACGACGCUCUCCUCAUGGACACCGUGGAGGCCAUAGACCGUGCAGAGGUAUCCACGGCUGCCUGAAGAGCUGCUCUAGCGGCAGCCAUGCCCUCCUCAACCAGAGCCUUAAACUCCAGCUUAUCACGCUCCUGGAGGGAGUCCGCAAAUUUGGGCACUGAACCCCACAAAUUGAAGUCAUAUCUGCCCAGAAGGGCUUGGUGGUUAGCCACCCUCAGUUGGAAACUUGAGGACAAAUAA